rfam:Loktanella sp. 3ANDIMAR09 PM07_013, whole genome shotgun sequence.
ACGGAUGGCCGGGUGAUCGCGGCCGCGCAAGCGGUCGAGGAAAGUCCGGACUCCACAAGGCACGGUGCCGGGUAACGCCCGGCGGGGGCAACCCCAGGGAAAGCGCCACAGAGAACAGACGGCCACGCAUGCGUGGUCACGGUGAAACGGUGGGGUAAGAGCCCACCGCGCGACUGGCAACAGAAGCGGCACGGCAAGCCCCACCGGGAGCAAUGCCAAAUAGGGGCCUCGUGCCGGAGCGAUCCGGCAGGGACGCCUGACCCGAGAGGCCCGGGUUGGCAGCCAGAGGGUCGUCGGUAACGACGGCUUUAGACGAAUGAUCAUCCAACCGCAGUAAUGCGGGGGACAAAAUCCGGCUUAUAGGCCAUCCGUGUCA